rnacentral:RNase_P_RNA from 2 species
UCAGUCGGCCGGACGGCCGUCCCGGCGAGCACCGAAAGGUGGCCGGGGAGGAAAGUCCGGGCUCCAUGGACAUACGGUGCCGGAUAAGGUCCGGCGGGGGCGACCCCAGGGACAGUGCCACAGAGAACAGACCGCCUGCGGCCGCGUUGCGUUCUGGCCGUCGGCAAGGGUGAAACGGUGCGGUAAGAGCGCACCGCGCGUCCGGCAACGGAAGCGGCACGGCAAACCCCACCGGGAGCAAAACCGAAUAGGGACGGCGCGCAGGCUCGCCUCGCAAGGGGCGCGCCUGCGGAUCGAUGUCUGGAUCCAGCCGUCCGGGUAGGUCGCUCGAGGCGCCGGGCAACCGGCGUCCCAGAGGAAUGGCCGUCGCGCGGCGGGGCGACCCGCCGCCCUACAGAACCCGGCUUACAGGCCGGCUGAUCGU